rnacentral:rRNA from 1 species
CGACCGGCGCACGGGUGAGUAACACGUAUCCAACCUGCCGAUAACUCGGGGAUAGCCUUUCGAAAGAAAGAUUAAUAUCCGAUAGCAUAUCAAGAUCGCAUGAUCUUAGAUAUUAAAGAAUUUCGGUUAUCGAUGGGGAUGCGUUCCAUUAGUUAGUUGGCGGGGUAACGGCCCACCAAGACGACGAUGGAUAGGGGUUCUGAGAGGAAGGUCCCCCACAUUGGAACUGAGACACGGUCCAAACUCCUACGGGAGGCAGCAG